AAUUCGAUUUGAGUUUGAUCCUGGCUCAGAACGAACGCUGGCGGCAGGCCUAACACAUGCAAGUCGAACGCCGUAGAAAUACGGAGUGGCAGACGGGUGAGUAACGCGUGGGAACAUACCCCUCGGUUCGGAAUAACUCAGGGAAACUUGAGCUAAUACCGGAUACGUCCGAGGUUUUAAUCGACCUCGGAGAAAGAUUUAUCGCCGGAGGAUUGGCCCGCGUCUGAUUAGCUUGUUGGUGAGGUAAUGGCUCACCAAGGCGACGAUCAGUAGCUGGUCUGAGAGGAUGAUCAGCCACAUUGGGACUGAGACACGGCCCAAACUCCUACGGGAGGCAGCAGUGGGGAAUAUUGGACAAUGGGCGAAAGCCUGAUCCAGCCAUGCCGCGUGAGUGAUGAAGGCCUUAGGGUUGUAAAGCUCUUUUACCCGGGAAGAUAAUGACGGUACCGGGAGAAUAAGCCCCGGCUAACUUCGUGCCAGCAGCCGCGGUAAUACGAAGGGGGCUAGCGUUGUUCGGAUUUACUGGGCGUAAAGCGCACGUAGGCGGAUCUUUAAGUCAGGGGUGAAAUCCCGAGGCUCAACCUCGGAACUGCCUUUGAUACUGGGGAUAUCGAGUCCGGGAGAGGUGAGUGGAACUGCGAGUGUAGAGGUGGAAUUCGUAGAUAUUCGCAAGAACACCAGUGGCGAAGGCGGCUCACUGGCCCGGUACUGACGCUGAGGUGCGAAAGCGUGGGGAGCAAACAGGACUAGAU
rnacentral:rRNA from 1 species